GCGCUUGAGAGAACUCGGGUGAAGGAACUAGGCAAAAUGGUGCCGUAACUUCGGGAGAAGGCACGCUGAUAUGUAGGUGAAGUCCCUCGCGGAUGGAGCUGAAAUCAGUCGAAGAUACCAGCUGGCUGCAACUGUUUAUUAAAAACACAGCACUGUGCAAACACGAAAGUGGACGUAUACGGUGUGACGCCUGCCCGGUGCCGGAAGGGUAAGUGAUGGGGUGAGCCGCAAAGCGAAGCUCUUGAUCGAAGCCCCGGUAAACGGCGGCCGUAACU
rnacentral:rRNA from 1 species